AUGCUGGUCUCGAACUCCUGAACUCAAGUGAUCCGCCCACCUUGGUCUCUCAAAGUGCUGGGAUUACAGGCAUGAGCCCACCACACCCGGCCAAGUGUUUUAUGUGUGGAUUAGAGCCUGGAUGUGUGUUUAUACCCUGGAGUACUGGUACCCAUGCUUCAGAGGAACUGAACAUAAUUACAGGGGUGUAGGAAGUAAAAGAAAAGUGAUCCUUUCUCUGAUUCAUUAUGCUCACCAUCGAAUGAAACUUAAGUUGGUGUGUGGUGUGGUUCUACCCACUUUUGCUGUGGGUAUGCAAACGUAAAUAUAUAUCUUUUUAAGAAAAAUGGGAUCUUCCUAUGCAUAAUGUUUUACAACUUAAUUUUUUUUCACCUAAUAGAUGGUGGACAUCUUUCUAUAUCAGUGCAUAUUGACUGAUCUCUUUUUUAAAAGCUUUGAGGCGGGGCGUGGUGGCUCACGCCUGUAAUCCCAGCACUUUGGGAGGCUGAGGCGGGUGGAUCACGAGGUCAGGAGUUCAAGACCAGCCUGACCAACUU
rnacentral:lncRNA from 1 species